CCUACGGGCGGCAGCAGUGGGGAAUAUUGGACAAUGGGCGAAAGCCUGAUCCAGCCAUGCCGCGUGUGUGAAGAAGGCCUUCGGGUUGUAAAGCACUUUCAGUGGGGAAGAAAGCCUUGGGGCUAAUACCCUCGAGGAAGGACAUCACCCACAGAAGAAGCACCGGCUAACUCCGUGCCAGCAGCCGCGGUAAUACGGAGGGUGCGAGCGUUAAUCGGAAUUACUGGGCGUAAAGCGCGCGUAGGCGGUCUGAUAAGCCGGUUGUGAAAGCCCCGGGCUCAACCUGGGAACGGCAUCCGGAACUGUCAGGCUAGAGUGCCGGAGAGGAAGGUAGAAUUCCCGGUGUAGCGGUGAAAUGCGUAGAGAUCGGGAGGAAUACCAGUGGCGAAGGCGGCCUUCUGGACUGACACUGACGCUGAGGUGCGAAAGCGUGGGUAGCAAACAGGAUUAGAUACCCUGGUAGUC
rnacentral:rRNA from 1 species